CAUACUUUCAAAAGUAAACAUUAAAUGUAAAUUAAAUUUUUGUUGAUGUUUUUUGGGGUUCGGAAAUUUUAAUCCGGAAUCGAUGGAGGCCCUCAAGAAUUUGAGUUGGAAGCGACAACAUUGGCAAGAAAAAGAUCACGAUCACGGGGGGAAAGCGGAGCAGCUUCAACAAACUGCCGUCUUUUUCUCUCAGUACCUUAAGCGGAAAUGGCAGUACCGAUAGUAACAGCAGUAGUAGAAGCAUUUCUGUCUCCGCUGCUAGUGGAAGUCGGCGGAAGUUUAAGUGCAACUGCACGCUGAGUGGCCACUCACUUGUAAAUCGCACUCGCUGUUGUCGCGGUGAGCUGUAACGGGCCAAAGCAACGCGUUCGACAAACUUCUGUCGGGUCACAAAACGGGACCGGUUGGAGCAGCAACAUCCAAGGAAGAAGUGGAAUCGUCGAGCAAUUCUUUGUCCGGAUUUGACCGCCGGAGAGCAUUCGGAACUACCGGAAG